UAUAUAUAAAGAAAUUUGAUUACUCCCAUUUCAAUUUGAGUAUUUUUAAAAAAUAAUUUUUCUUUCAUUCCAUUAUUUAUUUGUAUAGUUGUAUCUUUGUGUUAUAGUGAUAAUCGUAUCUCUCAGUUGUGGUGGAUGAAUGAGCCAUUUGAUGCUUAUUCUUUUUUGUUUACUUUCAUUUGUAAUCAGUUGAGAAUAAACUCUUAUGGUUUUUCAUUGGUUGUUUAUUGAUGCGAUCAUGAACGUAAGAACGUUGAAUAUGAAUUACUAAACAGUUUAAAUAGAUGCUAAUUAUUUAUUUUAUUUAUAUUUAUUAUAAGUAAUUCCAUUUGGAUCAGUCCCUUUAAGAUCUAUCUUUGUUUUGGAAAUAUUGAUUUGACAGCCUUUAUGGCCUAAACUGUGGGGAGGCUCUUGCCAAUGAUGUAUGUUCUGUCCUUUAAAGAGAAGAUCAUAACAGAGUUGCAGAGUUUGUGGUCAAGGAUGUCCAAUUAAUUCAGGCAAAGCAUUUUGAAUUUGAUAUUCUGAAUGAUUUCUUGGUGAUGGGCAAAGACUGGCAAAGCAUUAAAGGAAACAGUUCAGUGCGAAGUAAAGGCACCCAAAAAGAAGUCAAGGUAAAGGUUCGCUGAAAGAACGAGAACUGGUUCAUAUUUUUAGAGAUGGGUUCGGGAGUGCGGUUACUCACGAAGAAGGGUUAAGACUUCCGUGACGCCCGUUCCACGAACGAAUCGGUAAUCUUUUAUUGAAAAAUUACUCGAAGACCAUCCCAAAGCUUUGGUGAAGUCUCGAAAUUCUCCUCACUUAGGGAAAUCUCCGGAAGAACUCGUCUCUACAAGCUCUUCGGAGAAAUCCCAUCAUCGGGAUUCUCGCACCAUUUGCAAGAAAAAUGCGGCGUGCUAUGAUAGGAUAAAAUGCUGAUGUCUACAUGCACACGUUUAUUGAAUUAGGUAUUGGAGUUUAAAGUUCGGAUUUAUCCCAACGUUUCGGUGAAAAUCCGUCUCGAACUUCGCACCCAAAAAACAUCCACCCGAAAAAGGCAACUCUUUGCCCUUUCCUAGAUGGAAUUUCUUAAACAAUCAUCUCAUUUUUCUUAUAAUUUUUUAUAUUUGUAUCAUGUUGUUUUUUUUUUUAUUAUUUUUUGUUUAUAUAUAUACAUAUUAUAUUUACAAGUAUCUAAAUAUGAAUAUUGAUCCCAAUUAUAUA